rnacentral:rRNA from 1 species
AUUGAACGCUGGCGGCAGGCUUAACACAUGCAAGUCGAACGAGUGGCGGACGGGUGAUUAAUGCUUGGGAACUUAGCUUAUGGAGGGGGUUAACUACGGGAAACUGUAGCUAAAACCGCUUACCUUAGGAUGAGCCCAGGUGGGAUUAGGUAGUUGGUGGGGUAAAGGCUCACAAAGCCGACGAUCCCUAGCUGGUCUGAGAGGAUGACCAGCAAAACUGGGACUGAGAGACGGCCAAGACUCCUACGGGAGGCAGCAGUGGGGAAUAUUGCGCAAUGGGCGCAACCCUGAUGCAGCCAUGCCGCGUGUAUGAAGAAGGCCCUAGGGUUGUAAAGUACUUUCAGUCGGGAGGCGUUACCGACAGAAGAAGCACCGGCUAACUCCGUGCCAGCAGCCGCGGUAAUAC